rnacentral:rRNA from 1 species
GUGCAUGGUAGGCAGUUUGACUGGGGCGGUCUCCUCCCAAAGCGUAACGGAGGAGUACGAAGGUACGCUAGGUACGGUCGGAAAUCGUGCUGAUAGUGCAAUGGCAUAAGCGUGCUUAACUGCGAGACCGACAAGUCGAGCAGGUGCGAAAGCAGGUCAUAGUGAUCCGGUGGUUCUGUAUGGAAGGGCCAUCGCUCAACGGAUAAAAGGUACUCUGGGGAUAACAGGCUGAUACCGCCCAAGAGUUCAUAUCGACGGCGGUGUUUGGCACCUCGAUGUCGGCUCAUCUCAUCCUGGGGCUGUAGCCGGUCCCAAGGGUAUGGCUGUUCGCCAUUUAAAGAGGUACGUGAGCUGGGUUUAAAACGUCGUGAGACAGUUUGGUCCCUAUCUGCCGUGGGCGUUGGAUAUUUGAAGGGGGCUGCUCCUAGUACGAGAGGACCGGAGUGGACGAACCUCUGGUGUACCGGUUGUCACGCCAGUGGCAUCGCCGGGUAGCUAUGUUCGGAAGAGAUAACCGCUGAAAGCAUCUAAGCGGGAAACUCGCCUUAAGAUGAGAUAUCCCUGGGGACUGGAUCCCCUUGAAGGGUCGUUCGAGACCAGGACGUUGAUAGGUCAGGUGUGUAAGCGCAGUAAUGCGUUCAGCUAACUGAUACUAAUUGCCCGUAAGGCUUGAUCCUAUAACA